rnacentral:lncRNA from 1 species
AAAUUAAUCAAUUUUACUUUCUGAUAGUUUGCUGCUGUUGCAACUUUACCAUUUGAUGUAGUAAAAACACAAAAGCAGACACAACUUUGGACAUAUGAAAGUCAUAAAAUUUCUAUGCCUUUGCAUAUGUCAACCUGGAUUAUAAUGAAGAACAUUGUUGCUAAAAAUGGAUUUUCCGGAUUAUUUUCAGGCCUAAUUCCUCGCUUAAUUAAAAUUGCUCCUGCUUGUGCCAUUAUGAUCAGUACAUAUGAAUUUGGAAAGGCUUUUUUCCAGAAACAAAAUGUUCGAAGGCAGCAAUACUAGUGAUGCUGUUUCAACUUGAAACAACAACUAUAGCCAAAGAAGAUGGAGACUCUUAGGCAAGAAUGUUUUUCACCAUUAUUCUCUCACAAUGAUUUUAUGUCUUUCUUUCCUAUAAUUUAAAUAAAUAAUUUCAGCUCU